rnacentral:rRNA from 1 species
AACGAACGCUGGCGGCAGGCUUAACACAUGCAAGUCGAACGGAUGUAGCAAUACAUUAGUGGCGCACGGGAGAGUAACACGUGGGAAUCUACCUUUUGGUUCGGAAUAACGUCGGGAAACUGACGCUAAUACUGGAUAAGCCCUACGGGGGAAAGAUUUAUCGCCAAAAGAUGAGCCCGCGCUAGAUUAGCUUGUUGGUGAGGUAAUGGCUCACCAAGGCUACGAUCUAUAGCUGGUCUGAGAGGAUGACCAGCCUCACUGGGACUGAGACACGGCCCAGACUCCUACGGGAGGCAGCAGUGGGGAAUAUUGGACAAUGGGGGAAACCCUGAUCCAGCCAUGCCGCGUGAAUGAUGAAGGCCUUCGGGUUGUAAAGUUCUUUUGGUUAGGGACGAUGAUGACGGUACCUACAGAAUAAGCUCCGGCUAACUUCGUGCCAGCAGCCGCGGU